rnacentral:tRNA from 1 species
AUCUGGUUAGCUCAGUUAGUAGAGCAUAUGACUCUCAAUCUCAGGGUGUGAGUUGGAGCCCCACAUUGGGUA